UCGAGUGAAGGGCUCUCUAAGAACCCAACCUCCCAACCCUUGUGUUCUUUACCACUUUGCUUCGGCAGGCCCGUCACUGUUGUGACCGCUGAAGGGUUAUGUUUUUAACUAGCCUUUGGCCCGUGCCUGCCGGAGAUAUUUGAACGCUUGUUAUGAAAUAGGUUGUCUGAGUUAUUGAAGAAAAUAAGUCA
rnacentral:misc_RNA from 1 species